CGCCUCUUGAAUAAACAUAAGAGGUCCAGCCUGCCCAGUGACCAUGUUCAACGGCCGCGGUAUCCUAACCGUGCGAAGGUAGCGUAAUCACUUGUUCUUUAAAUAAGGACUAGUAUGAACGGCAUCACGAAGGUUACACUGUCUCCUCUCUCUAAUCAGUGAAACUAAUCUCCCCGUGAAGAAGCGGGGAUAAGCAUAUAAGACGAGAAGACCCUAUGGAGCUUUAAACUAAAAGGCACUUGCCCCAAAUAUCACCAAAUUUCAGAAAACCUACACCACCCAGGCAAGAUGACCCUCAGUUUUAGGUUGGGGUGACCGCGGAGCAAAAAAUAACCUCCACAUUGAAAGGAACCCACUCCUUAGCCAAGAGCCACACCUCCAAGCACCAACAAAAAGACAUUAAUUGACCCAAUAUUUUGAUCAACGAACCAAGUUACCCUAGGGAUAACAGCGCAAUCCACUUCAAGAGCCCCUAUCGACAAGUGGGUUUACGACCUCGAUGUUGGAUCAGGGUAUCCUGGUGGUGCAGCCGCUACCAAAGGUUCGUUUGUUCAACGAUUAAAACCCU
rnacentral:rRNA from 1 species